UAUCCCAAGCUGCCGAGCCUGUUAAACUCCAAUUCCGAAUCCAGGAUGAUGGUGUGCCCGGUGAGGCCCGUCCUCUCGUCACCCGACAUGCCGCGCUUCGCGUCCGCCGGCCGCUGGCAGCAGCGGCCCGUUAGAAAAACGAUCCCGCUGGCGCAACACUCGUCGUCCUUCGUGGCGACGCGAAUCGAGCUGCCGGUGGUGGAUAUAACGUGCAACUACAAUUCUUAUCGUUACAAGUCCCUCGAGAAGAGCCUGAGGGAGCGAUACGGCGCGAACUACCCCCCGGGCGAGGUGGUGCUGAAUUACAUCCAAUUAAACACGCCGGAUUCGGGGACGGGGCGCGAGGAUAACGUCGGUGAUGAUCUUCUCGACUUCUUCGGCGGCGGCAAUGCCGGCGCGUACUCGUCGUCGGUGUCGACGAGGCUGGAAACGGAAUAUCUGAAUCUCCUGGAUCACUUCGUAUCGCGGGAGCGGGGGAGGGCUCUGACCGCGGGCAAGUUUACCGAGACGCUCUCGCUCGCGGAUGAAAGAAAUGUUGAGCUGUCGUCCCACGCCGGUACAUGGAGCUCUCAGUCUACUUUGGGAAGCUCAGUCGCUCAGGAAGGGGAAUCCAGGUCGCCCUCGAAAGGUAAGAGGAUAAUGAUCUGUCCAGGUAUUGAAUACAGCCAGGGUGGCGGCGGCGGCGCAAAUAGACGUCUCAGCAGCUUGCAGAGGGUGCUUAGGCGAUAGUGCGAAGCGGUUCGAUCGCGGGAAAGGCGGUAAUCCCAUCUGCGAACCCCGGGCCAACCGGCAAUCUGUCAUGAAGUCGAAGGAGAACACACAGGAAAAUGAGCGGGACCCGGCGAAAGAGCGCUCCGCCUGCCGAGCGCUUAAGCUAUCAAAGCGAAGUUGAAGCCCCGAAGCGAUUUUCGGCGCAGCAAUGGAUAGCGGGAAAAACGGGAUUUGGAACGGGUUUGAUGCAUUUCCAUUCGAUGGCAUCUCGAUCUUACGGGACAAAAAUAUAAUUAAUUUCCCGGAGGAUAUAAAACGUUCGGCGGGACAGCGGGAUGCAAGAUGUAGCCCAUUGACAAAAUUGUCGUUGUGUAUUACAGGCCAUUUCGAAAUGGAACAAAUAAAUCCUCUGUCGUUGUGUAUAUUUAAAUGUACCCGCGCGCGUUGGCGAUAAAAUAAAAUUACAUCUAAUUUUACUUUAUCGAUCCGAUACUUUUAUUAUUCGAUAUCUGGCGACCGCCACCAAACGGGUUGAUCAAUUUUAUUUCCCAUUGGAUAUAUAUUUUGGCGACUUUUUAUAACUCGGAAAAAACAGAUUUGUCAUACAAACACGCAGUUUCGCCCGACUAUUUGUCUGCCUGUAACCAGCAUGGUCGACGUAAACGUCAAGCAUUACGAUAAAAUACUACGUUCGAAAUAAAGCUGGAGAGUUAACGUCAUCGUAUACCAUCGCCAAAUAUGGAUAUUUAAUAGUUUCGCGACGGACAGGAGAUUGUUUUUCAGAUGUUUGCCGAACGAUACGCGACGACAAAAAUAUUUUACCUUCGCUCACUGAUUACACGUCGCGAACAAAUUCCUCUGGGCACGUUUGUACGUCAAUCACUCGCAGUCGAUUAUCAUUUUUCAAUUAAUUAGUAAAAGUUCCAUUUUAUUCCACUUUCAAACUUUAUAUUAACGUUGUCGCUUCCUCUCCCGUUUCCGUCUCUCUAUUCUUAACUGUUUUAUUCUCUCCCGCUCUUAUAUUAUUUUCACGCUUUAAAUUUGUCGCGGUGUAACGACAAUUGUGCGACUGUUGCAACGAUCGUUCAUGUUAGUUUUCUAUUCAGAAUAUA